GCCAAAGAAUCGAUCUCUUUCGUCUAACUUCCCGUUAGUAAUAGAUCGCUUUUUUCCUUUCUUUGCCUCCACUCCAUCCCCGCUUUCUUUUUUCGCCUUUUGAUUUAAUGCCCGUUUCACCCCGGAGGACCGGAGAGCAGCUGCUCUCUGACCCCCCGCCGACCUCUGUUCCGAACGAGAAGUUCGGACCCCGCGACUUUGCCCAUCUGCCCCAUCAAACGGUUGCGAGGAGCCCGUUCAACCUGAAGACAAUAUUCAGAUGAAAGGAAGAAAAUGAGAAAUCAGCUAACACUCCCUGAUGUGCGAUGGACACUUGAGCAAGCACGGCAAACGAAGAACAGAGCCCCACCUUCCCCC
ensembl:lncRNA